CUGAGCAGUUGGAACAACCUUGAAUGCAGUAUUGCAGGGUUAGGGGUCAGGCAGAGCCAGGUCCCCAGACAGGGAGACUUUGUUCUCAGUGGAAAAGAAGUCUUGUGCUGAGCUGUCAUCAUUUUAGACUUCAUCGUCGAUGUUGAUGGUGCCAUCGCCUCCUCCUCUUUCACAGACAUGAUCUCACCACUUGUUGCUCAGAACCCAGACAACGUCACUGACUUCCAAAAUUAUCCAUGAACAUUAGCAAGAAGCCCUUACCAGGGCCUGGGAGGUUCCCCAUCAGCUGUGCUCUGUCUGCCCCUGUCUGGUCUUGAACCAUUCUCCACCUAAUCACACCACACCGGCCUCCUCUCUGUAGAGUAAUUACACCUAAACCUACCUCAGGGCCUUUGCACUUGCUGAUCUUGCUCCCAGAUAUUUGCAUGUCACUCUCUAUGCUGUGCUAGGGAUCUUUUUUUUUCUUACGUUUUAUUGAAGUAUAGUUUAUUUACAAUGUUGUAAUAAUUUCUGCUAAACAAAGUGAUUCAGUUAUAUAGGUACACACAUGCAUUUUUCUUUCAGGUUCUUUUCCCACGUAAAUGAUCACAGAAUAUCGGUAGAAUUCUCUGUGCUCUACAGCAGGUCCCUGUUGGCAAGUCAUUCCUUACAUCUCAGUUGUGCAUAUGCCAGACCCCAAGUCCAUCCCUUCCACCCCCGACCUGUCCCCUUUGGUAACCGUAAGUUUGUUUUCAAAGAUUGUGAGUCUGUUUCUGUUCUGCAAAUAAGUUCACUUGUAUCCUUUUUUUAGAUUUCAGUAUAAGUGAUGUCAUAUGAUAUUUGGCUUUCACUUUCUGAUUUAGUAUGAUAAUCUCUAGGUCCAUCCAUCUAUGUUGCUGCAAAUAGCAUUAUUUCAUUCUUUUAUUUAUUUAUUUUUUGUCUUUUUAGGGCCACACCCCUAGCUCAUGGAAGUUCCCAGGCCAGGGGUCGAAUUGAAGCUGCAGCUGACGGCCUAUAUCACAGCCACAGCCACUCAGGAUCCAAACCGUGUCUGUGACCGACACCACAGCUCAUGGCAAUGCCGGAUCCUUAACCCACUGAGCGAGGCCGCAACCUCAUGGUUCCCAGUCGGAUUUGUUUCCACUGUGCCAUGACAGGAACUCCUCAGUAGUACUUUAUUUACAAAAACAGGUGACAGGCCAGAUUGAUGAAAUAACAGCCUAGAGCAGGGGUCGGUAAACCACUGAUUGUGGUUUGCCUAUUCCUGCUCUAUCGACAUUAUUAUUUUAUUGUAAUCAUAAUGUUUAUCGCCAUCUAAAAUAACCUUGUUUGUUUGUGUCUAACUUUGUCUCCUCAAAUCGAGAAACUGAGGCCCAUGCCGGCAGGAGCACGGCCUCCUUUGGUGUGACAGCCUCAGGCUUAGCUCCACACGCAUGGCACCAGCUCCAUGGCUGUUCAUUCGAGGAAUAGGCACUGUCAGUCGCAGGAGUCCCACGUUCAUUCAUUCAUUCAUUCCUUCUCCAUGCAUGCGUGUCUCACUCGCUUUGCUUCUCGCCUCACUUGGAGCCUUAGAAACAGAGCUCGCAGAGAUGUGGAAGCAGGUUAUGGUGCAAGGUGAAGUUCAACCAGGGGAGGGUCUAUCAAGUGGGGUUCAGAAGGAGCACGACCUAGGGGGGCAUCCACUCUUAGGAAGUCAGAGGUGGCUUCUUGGAGGGUGUGACAUCUGAGCUGAGUUUGAAGGAUGUCUUUAAGCAGAGCAGCAGGGCCUGGAAGGGCAUCCACACACACAGAACAGCCUGUGCAGGGACAUGGUGGCAGGAAGAAAAAGCAGCCCAGGUGGAUGGAGCAAGUGCCGUCCCUGUGUAGCCACAGGCUGAGUUACCAGCAGUCGGUGAAAGUUGGGCGCUCAGAGUUCCUGUUGUGGCUCAGCGGGUUACACACUGGGCUAGUAUCCAUGAUGAUGUGGGUUCGAUUCCUGGCCCUGCUCAGUGGGUUAAGGGUCCGGUGUUGCCAUGAGCUGCAGUGUAGGUCACAGACAAGGCUAGGAUCCCAAGUUGCUGUGGCUGUGGUGUGCAGGCUGGCAGCUGUAGCUCCCAUUCGACCCUUAGCCGGGGAACUUCUGUGUGCCAUAGGUGCAGCCCUAAAAAGCCAAAAAAAAAAAUGGAGUUCCCAUCGUGGUGCAUCGGAAAUGAAUCUGAUUGGGAUCCAUGAGGUUGUGGGUUUGAUCCCUGGCCUUGCUUAGCGGGUUAAGGAUCCGGCAAUGCCGUGAGCUGUGGUGUAGGUCCUGGAUCUGACUAAGGCUAAUACAUCUUCUCAGUUGAUUUGGCCUCUGCUGUGUAGACCUGGCUGUUUGGAGGGGAGCCGCUCGACAUCCUAUGUAAGUGAUAGGUCCAAGAAAAAUAGUUUUUUUGGUUCUUAAAAGAAACAGACAUGAGUUCGCAUCGUGGCUCAGCAGAAAUGAUUCUGACUAGUAUCCAUGAGGACUCAGGUUCAAUCCCUGGCCUUGCUCAGUGGGUGAAGGAUCUGGCGUUGCCGUGAGCUGUGGUGUAGGUCACAGACAUGGCUCAGAUCCCGUGUUGCUUCGGCUGUGGUGAAGGCUGAUGGCUGCAGCUCCGAUUGGACCCCUAGCCUGGGAACCUCCAUAUGCCAAGGG
ensembl:lncRNA